UUCUUGCUUGCCAGCACAAAGUUUGGUUCUUGCCAUGCUUUCUUGUUUCUUCCCCUUUCACAUUCUUGUUAUGGACUUCUCUUUUUAGUUUAUUUUUCUUAUCGGUGGGUUGGAUUCGGUUGAAUUGGAACUGGAUAUGCUUCUAGCUAUCUAUUUUUUAUUUCCUAUCAUGUUUUCAUGUGUCACUAUGAUAUGAUUUUUUUGCAAGAAUCCAUCUGAAAUUGUUCGUGCUGGAAGACUUACGGAUAACGCUUCUUGACUGGAUGCGUUUAACGUGAGCAAUGGGCAUAGAUGCCACCGACCGUUAAAGAAGAGGAUAGUACAAAUUUGAGUGCUUGAUAUUCUUAAUGAUGUUUUGACUGUUAUUUUCUAAUUUAUGUUCUACUAAGUUCAGCAUCUGUCAGCAUGGGUUCUUGGAGCAAUAACCGUGGACCUAUGUCAUUUUAGGCUGUCAGAGAUAUGAGUAGAAAUUCAGUGACGUUGAAAAAGGGAAUUUUUAGCAGCAAAGACAGCAAAGAUACUUACAAAUAUAAGUGGAGCACUGAAAAUUUCUGAAAUAACAGCCCAGCAAUAGGGGUGUCUGCAGGAGAGUGAUGGGCUACAGAUUAAAACCUGAUGAGACACGAGACAUCAGAGUGAUGGAGAUAGCAUUGGUUUCUCUGAUGUACAAGUUGGUCUUGUACUUCUUCGUUGUUAUAUAUUGUAGUUUGAUAAGGAUAUGAUUGGGUAAUCAUGUAGUAGCUAGUCAGAUUAGAGGUUCAAGUCAUUUAUGGGAUUUAUCUCUGUUUUAUUUUUAAGUUUACUAGUACCCAAGCAUGUACAAAUGCAGAUUUUAGAAAUGAGAAAUAUUAAUGAUUCAAAUGAGUUUGGCAGGGUACAGUUUGAAAAAAAAAAAAACAACUUAAUAUGUCUACAUGUUAGUGUGUACAUACAUACUCAAAAUAGUGAAUGACGUCUAAAAUAAGGAACAUAUACUAUCAAUUUAAAAUUAAACUAUAUGAAACUAAUCAUCAAAAGAAAAGAUCAAAAAGCAUGAUUAUAUUAGUUGAAAAAGGAAAAUGAGAACUACAAAAGAAAGAUAAAGAUUGAGAUAAAAAGG